rnacentral:tRNA from 1 species
GCCGGAAUGACCCCAGGGGGUCCUGGGCGCGGACUUCAAAUCCGUGGAGGCUCAACGGCCUAGAGGUUCAACUCCUCCUUACCGGC